UACGAAGGGGGCUAGCGUUGCUCGGAAUCACUGGGCGUAAAGGGUGCGUAGGCGGGUCUUAAGUCAGGGGUGAAAUCCUGGAGCUCAACUCCAGAACUGCCUUUGAUACUGAGAUCUCGAGUUCGGGAGAGGUGAGUGGAACUGCGAGUGUAGAGGUGAAAUUCGUAGAUAUUCGCAAGAACACCAGUGGCGAAGGCGGCUCACUGGCCCGAUACUGACGCUGAGGUAGACGCGAACGGGAGGGCAAACAGGGAUUAA
rnacentral:rRNA from 1 species